rnacentral:rRNA from 1 species
ACGGAGCUUAGAGAGCUUGCUUUUUAAGCUUAGUGGCGAGCGGGUGAGUAACGCGUGAGUAACCUGCCCUAGAGUGGGGGACAACAGUUGGAAACGACUGCUAAUACCGCAUAAGCCCACGGUACCGCAUGGUACUGAGGGAAAAGGAUUUAUUCGCUUUAGGAUGGACUCGCGUCCAAUUAGCUAGUUGGUGAGGUAACGGCCCACCAAGGCGACGAUUGGUAGCCGGACUGAGAGGUUGAACGGCCACAUUGGGACUGAGACACGGCCCAGACUCCUACGGGAGGCAGCAGUGGGGGAUAUUGCACAAUGGGGGAAACCCUGAUGCAGCGACGCCGCGUGGAGGAAGAAGGUUUUCGGAUUGUAAACUCCUGUCGUUAGGGACGAUAAUGACGGUACCUAACAAGAAAGCACCGGCUAACUACGUGCCAGCAGCCGCGGUAAAACGUAGGGUGCAAGCGUUGUCCGGAAUUACUGGGUGUAAAGGGAGCGCAGGCGGGAAGACAAGUUGGAAGUGAAAACCAUGGGCUCAACCCAUGAAUUGCUUUCAAAACUGUUUUUCUUGAGUAGUGCAGAGGUAGAUGGAAUUCCCGGUGUAGCGGUGGAAUGCGUAGAUAUCGGGAGGAACACCAGUGG